rnacentral:rRNA from 1 species
GACGAACGCUGGCGGCGUGCCUAAUACAUGCAAGUCGAGCGCAGGAAGCUCACGGAACUCUUCGGAGGGAAGUGAAGGGAAUGAGCGGCGGACGGGUGAGUAACACGUAAGGAACCUGCCCCAAGGAUUGGGAUAACUCCGAGAAAUCGGAGCUAAUACCGAAUAGUUCUUCAGACCGCAUGGUCUGAUGAUGAAAGGCGCUUCGGUGUCACCUUGGGAUGGCCUUGCGGUGCAUUAGCUAGUUGGUGGGGUAAUGGCCCACCAAGGCGACGAUGCAUGGCCGACCUGAGAGGGUGUUCGGCCACACUGGGACUGAGACACGGCCCAGACUCCUACGGGAGGCAGCAGUAGGGAAUCUUCCACAAUGGACGAAAGUCUGAUGGAGCAACGCCGCGUGAGUGAUGAAGGUUUUCGGAUCGUAAAACUCUGUUGUAAGGGAAGAACAGGUAUGAGAGGUAAUGCUCAUGCUAUGACGGUACCUUACGAGAAAGCCACGGCUAACUACGUGCCAGCAGCCGCCGUAACAC